GGUACCUCACCAGAAGCCACGGCUAACUACGUGCCAGCAGCCGCGGUAAUACGUAGGUGGCAAGCGUUGUCCGGAAUUAUUGGGCGUAAAGCGCGCGCAGGCGGUCCCUUAAGUCUGAUGUGAAAGCCCACGGCUCAACCGUGGAGGGUCAUUGGAAACUGGGGCGUUAUGAUGGUAGGGGCGAGAGGGAAUUCCUGGUGUAGCGGUGAAAUGCGUAGAGAUCAGGAAGAACAUCGGUGGCGAAGGCGCUCUGCUGGACCAUAACUGACACUCA
rnacentral:rRNA from 1 species